UACGUAGGGUGCGAGCGUUGUCCGGAAUUAUUGGGCGUAAAGAGCUCGUAGGCGGUCUGUCGCGUCGAUCGUGAAAACUUGGGGCUUAACCCUGAGCUUGCGGUCGAUACGGGCAUGACUGGAGUUCGGCAGGGGAGACUGGAAUUCCUGGUGUAGCGGUGAAAUGCGCAGAUAUCAGGAGGAACACCGAUGGCGAAGGCAGCUCGCUGGGACGGUACUGACGCUGAGACGCGAAAGCGUGGGGAGCAAACAGG
rnacentral:rRNA from 1 species